AGUGAACGCUGGCGGUAGGCCUAACACAUGCAAGUCGAACGGCAGCACAGUAAGAGCUUGCUCUUACGGGUGGCGAGUGGCGGACGGGUGAGGAAUACAUCGGAAUCUACUUUUUCGUGGGGGAUAACGUAGGAAACUUACGCUAAUACCGCAUACGACCUACGGGUGAAAGCAGGGGAUCUUCGGACCUUGCGCGAUUGAAUGAGCCGAUGUCGGAUUAGCUAGUUGGCGGGGUAAAGGCCCACCAAGGCGACGAUCCGUAGCUGGUCUGAGAGGAUGAUCAGCCACACUGGAACGGAGACACGGUCCAGACUCCUACGGGAGGCAGCAGUGGGGAAUAUUGGACAAUGGGCGCAAGCCUGAUCCAGCCAUACCGAGUGGGUGAAGAAGGCCUUCGGGUUGUAAAGCCCUUUUGUUGGGAAAGAAAAGCAGCAGGUUAAUACCCCGCUGUUCUGACGGUACCCAAAGAAUAAGCACCGGCUAACUUCGUG
rnacentral:rRNA from 1 species